CGUGAUUAGGUUCACACACUAUUGAACCUUGACCAUCUCAACCAUGAUCGAAACUCAUUGGAGGCCCCGAACAAUAUACUUGAUUGAACCUUUGUCGAAACUAGUGGUUGGUCGCAUGAGACAAGAAACGACUGAUAUCAGUGCGGUUAAAUUGUGCAAAAGUGCUGUUAAAAUACUCCGUACAUCACGGAACGUUGAGAUUUAGCAGCAUUGGAUAGAUUGCAUGAGAACCACGUGCACCAAUCAGGGUGCAAAUUCGGCCAAAAGGUGUAAUAGAGGUCCGUAACUGUAUACAAACUGCCGCAAAAACUCACCGGAACAUUCAACAGUCCGUACACCAGUGCAGCAAUCGACACGCUCGGA